rnacentral:rRNA from 1 species
UACGAAGGGGGCUAGCGUUGUUCGGAAUACUGGGCGUAAAGCGUGCGCAGGCGGCUAUCCAAGUCAGUGGUGAAAGCCCGGAGCUCAACUCCGGAACUGCCAUUGAAACUGUUUAGCUUGAGUACGAGAGAGGUGAGUGGAAUUCCCAGUGGUAGAGGUGAAAUUCGUAGAUAGUUAGGGAAAGAACCGACCGGUGGCGAAGGCGGCUCACUGGCUCGUAACUGACGCUCAUGCACGACAGCGUGGGGAUCAAACAGG